GGGAAUCUUGCGCAAUGGGCGAAAGCCUGACGCAGCCAUGCCGCGUGGAUGAUGAAGGUCUUAGGAUUGUAAAAUCCUUUCAGCGGGGACGAUAAUGACGGUACCCGCAGAAGAAGCCCCGGCUAACUUCGUGCCAGCAGCCGCGGUAAUACGAAGGGGGCUAGCGUUGCUCGGAUUUACUGGGCGUAAAGGGUGCGUAGGCGGACCGUUUAGUUGGGGGUGAAAGCCCGGGGCUCAACCUCGGAAUUGCCUUCAAUACUGGCGGUCUUGAGUAUGGAAGAGGUAAGUGGAACUCCGAGUGUAGAGGUGAAAUUCGUAGAUAUUCGGAAGAACACCGGUGGCGAAGGCGACUUACUGGUCCAUUACUGACGCUGAGGCACGAAAGCGUGGGGAGCAAACA
rnacentral:rRNA from 1 species